rnacentral:piRNA from 1 species
UCAUGAAUUGUAGGUCCAAAUUCAGGA